GACGUAGGGCGCGAGCGUUGUCCGGAUUUAUUGGGCGUAAAGAGCUCGUAGGCGGCUUGUCGCGUCGGCUGUGAAAUCCCUCGGCUUAACCCGGGAACUGCGUCCGAUACUGGAAGGCUUGAAUCCGGGAGAGGGAUGCGGAAUUCCAGGUGUAGCGGUGAAAUGCGUAGAUAUCUGGAGGAACACCGGUGGCGAAGGCGGCAUCCUGGACCGGCAUUGACGCUGAGGAGCGAAAGCUAGGGGAGCAAACGGG
rnacentral:rRNA from 1 species